AGUGGACGGAACGCUUCUUUCAACAGCAGCAACAGUUAGUUAGCCACCUCGGUAGUUUACUAGCCUAAAUAGCCGAACCAAUAAAGCUCUUUAGACGCUUUUAUGUAUAUUAGCCACUGUGUUUUCAACCAUCUUCUGUCGUCUAGUUAGUUAUCAGAUUUCAUUAUAUAUUUACGGUGUUGUUGUUUUUAGUCAGUUAGCGGGCUGGUUAAAUUAGCAUUAUCCUAGAUAACUAGCAUUCCCGACCAUGCGGUCACUAAGCUACUCUCCUCCUGCUAAAGAAGAGGAGGAUGUCACAGUAAAACAAGAAGUAGAGGGUGAGGCCGUUACUGUGAAAUAAGAAAAAGACUCGUUCAGAGUGAAAGAGGAGGAGGAUGUUACAGUAAAAGGAGAGGAGGAUGCAGUUUAUGGAGUGAAAGAGGAGGGGGAGAUGACUGUUACAUCGAAAAAGGAGGAGGAAGAAGAGGAGGAAACUGGAUAUCUGUGCUCGAUUUCCCAAAUGCAUCUUAAGGUGUCCGAUGGUUCUAACGGUGAACUUAGCCAUAAAAUGGUUUUGAGAAACUGUUCCCUGAUUAACACUAACACACAAAUGACUUGAAGUCAUAACUAGGGGGGAGCCAAGCAUCACUAUAACCUAACCAGAGGGAGCCGGUCAUCAACGUAACCUGGCCAGAGGGAGCCGGUCGUCAACGUAACCUGGCCAGAGGGAGCCGGUCGUCAACGUAACCUGACCAGAAGGAGCCAGUCAUCAACGUAACCUGACCAGAGGGAGCCAGUCGUCAACGUAACCCGACCAGAGGGAGCCGGAGAGAGAAGUGACUAUUAUGGAACCUCUGGGAAGCCUCAACAACAUCAUGAAGCUGAAGAGGCAGAGAAGAGUCUCUGCAGAUCAGGACACCUCAAGAAACACCAUCAGAGACCCACAGGAAAGAAAUCUCACUGCUGCUCUCACUGUGGGAAACGUUUCAAAUCUUCAGAACUUAAAAAACACCAGCAAAUACACACAGGAGAGAAGCCUUAUAGCUGUAAUCAAUGUGGGAAGAGUUUUACUCAGUCAAGCAAGCUGGUAUCAUACCAGAGAACACACACAGGAGAGUAGACAUAUAGCUGUGAGCAAUGUGGGAAAAGCUUUUCUCGGAUAGACCACCUUAAAGGACACCAGAGGACACACACAGGAUAUAAAUCUUACAGCUGUAAUCAGUCGAUGAAGAGUUUUAUUCAGUCAAACAGCCUGAAUCGACACCAGAGAACACACACAGGAGAGAAAUCUUAUAGCUGUGAUCAAUGUGGGAAAAGCUUUGGUUGAACUUAUUAUCUGACUGAACAUAAGCAAACACACCCAUGAGAGAAACCUUACCACUGCUCUGACGGUGGGAAGAGCUUUGCUUCCCUGAGGAACCUGACACAACACCAGAUGUGUCCUCUUUGGACACAUGGAAAAAAGUAGGAGCAGACAUUUCUGAACUCUUAACCAACAGGCCUUUACACCUAUGAAUGAGUAUCAAUAAUGAGACACUAUUUCUGAGGCUACAUGAUGUAUCGUUUAGCAGAUUUACUUUGUAAUAUUAUUUUUGUUUGUUCUUAUCACUUAAUUUACUUGACAGAUUGCCAAUAGUCUUAAUUAAAACGUAUGUUCUUCUGUUUAAGCUAUUCUGAUGUUAAUUUACUUCUGUGUUUUGGGUCGUUGUCCUGUUGCAUCACCCAACUUGACCUUCAAUGGGCGGACAGAUAGCCUUACAUUCUCCUGUAAAAUAUCUUGAUAAACUCGGGAAUUCAUUUUUCCCUAGAUGAUAGCAAGCUGUCCAGGCCCUGAGGCAGCAAAGCAGCCACAAACCAUGAUGCUCCCUCCACCAUACUUUACAGUUGGGAGGAGGUUUUGAUGUUGGUGUGCUAUGCCUUUUUUUCCCCCACACAUAGUGUUGUGUUUUCCUUCCAAACAACUAAACUUUAGUUUAAUGUAUCCACAGAAUAUUUUGCCAGUGGAGCUGUGGAACAUCCAGGUGCACUUUUGCAAACUUCAGACUUGCAGCAAUGUUUUUUUUGGACAGCAGUGGCUUCUUCCUUGGUGUCCUACCAUGAACACACUUCUUGUUUAAUGUUUUACGUAUUGUAGACUCGUCAACAGAGAUGUUAGCAUGUUCCAGAGAUAUCUGUAAGUCUUUAGCUGACACUCUAGGAUUCUUCUUAACCUCAUUGAGCAUUCUGUGCUGUGCUCUUGUAGUCAUCUUUGCAGGAUAGUAGUGACUAGUAGUGACUAGUAGUGACUAGGGAGAGUAGCAACAGUGCUGAACUUUAUCCAUUUAUAGACAUUUUGUCUUACCAUGGACUGAUGAACAUCAAGGCUUUUAGAGAUACUUCUGUAACCCUUUCCAGCUUUAUGCAAGGCAACAAGAGAUCUCUUUUGUUCGAGGCAUGGUUCACAUCAGGCAAUGCUUCUUGUGAAUAGCAAAUUCACAUUUUGUGAGUAUUUUUUAUAGGGCAAGGCAGCUGUAACCAACAUCUCCAAUCUCGUCUUGAUUGGACUCCAUGUAAGCUCACUCCAGACUCCAAUUAGCUUUCAAUAUAGACAAGAAAAAUACAAUAGUGUGUGAAUUAUUAGUUGAAGCACACUAUGUUUGUCCAUUGUUGUCAUGAAGAUCAGAUCAAAUGUGAAAUCCAGGUCAUUCCAAAGGGUUCACAUACUUUUUCUUGCCACUGUAGAUGUCAUGUAUUGUCAUGUUAUGCUCUCUAUAAUGAAACAUCACCAAGUGAAAUAAAGUUGAUAAGAUACUCUUAGUAGUCAUUAAAUAAAAAAUGGUU